UCCGGUUUGGCACCGGCAGUCUCCCUAGAGUUCCCGGCAUCACCCGCUGGCAACUAAGGACAGGGGUUGCGCUCGUUGCGCCACUUAAGGCAACACCUCACGGCACGAGCUGACGACAGCCAUGCACCACCUGUGCAGGCUCCGAAGAGCACCCGCUUUCACGGGUUUCACCCUGCAUGUCAAGCCCAGGUAAGGUGGGGAUGACGUGUCCUUGAUAGG
rnacentral:misc_RNA from 1 species